rnacentral:rRNA from 1 species
GACGAACGCUGGCGGCGUGCCUAAUACAUGCAAGUCGAGCGAAGCGGCGGAUGGGUGAGUAACGCGUGGGUAACCUGCCCUUAAGUCUGGGAUACCAUUUGGAAACAGAUGCUAAUACCGGAUACUAACGGAUGGCACUGCGAUGCAUUAGCUAGUUGGUAAGGUAACGGCUUACCAAGUCGAUGAUGCAUAGCGGGGUUGAGAGGCUGACCGGCCACAUGGGGACUGAGACACGGUCCAAACUCCUACGGGAGGCAGCAGUAGGGAAUAUUCCACAAUGGACGAAAGUCUGAUGGAGCAAUGCCGCGUGAAUGAAGAAGGUCUUCGGAUCGUAAAGUUCUGUUGUUGGUGAAGCGGUAAUCAACCAGAAAGUCACGGCUAACUACGUGCCAGCAGCCGCGGUAAUUC